UAACAGGAUUCCCCUAGUAACUGCGAGUGAAGCGGGAAAAGCUCAAAUUUAAAAUCUGGUAGUCUUUGGCUGCCCGAGUUGUAAUCUAGAGAAGCGUUAUCCGUGCUGGACCGUGUACAAGUCUUCUGGAAUGGAGCGUCAUAGAGGGUGAGAAUCCCGUCUUUGACACGGACUACCAGUGCUUUGUGAUGCGCUCUCAAAGAGUCGAGUUGUUUGGGAAUGCAGCUCUAAAUGGGUGGUAAAUUCCAUCUAAAGCUAAAUAUUGGCGAGAGACCGAUAGCGAACAAGUACCGUGAGGGAAAGAUGAAAAGAACUUUGGAAAGAGAGUUAAACAGUACGUGAAAUUGUUGAAAGGGAAACGCUUGAAGUCAGUCGCGUUAGCUAGGAAUCAGCCUUGCUUUUGCUUGGUGUACUUCCUGGUUGACGGGUCAGCAUCAAUUUUGACCGGUGGAAAAAGGCCAGUUGAAUGUGGCCCCUUCGGGUGUGUUAUAGCUUCUGGUCGUAUACAUCGGUUGGGAUUGAGGACCUCAGCACACCGCAAGGUCGGGGUUCGCCCACGUUCGUGCUUAGGAUGCUGGCAUAAUGGCUUUAAUCGACCCGUCUUGAAACACGGACCAAGGAGUCUAACAUGCCUGCGAGUGUUUGGGUGGAAAACCCGAGCGCGUAAUGAAAGUGAAAGUUGAGAUCCCUGUCGUGGGGAGCAUCGACGCCCGGUCCAGACCUUGUGUGACGGAUCCGCGGUAGAGCAUGUAUGUUGGGACCCGAAAGAUGGUGAACUAUGCCUGAAUAGGGUGAAGCCAGAGGAAACUCUGGUGGAGGCUCGUAGCGAUUCUGACGUGCAAAUCGAUCGUCAAAUUUGGGUAUAGGGGCGA
rnacentral:rRNA from 1 species